AAAAAGGAGUAAGGGAGAGUAGCAGUAAACCCUCAAACCCUCCGCCUCCUUCAUUCAACCAUGACCGUCGGUGAUGGAGAGUUUGCGAUUUGAUGGAUUUUGUGACUUGUCAAACAUUGAAACUAAAAAGCAGGCAGAGACUUCUUGCUUUGUCGGCAUGAAAUGAGGAGGUAGAGAGCAGAUGAAUGACGGCCUCCCACAUCGGACGUGGAUUACCUCCGGGGUUCAAUUGCCGCGGUGCAUUCCGUUUUGCAGCAUUCUCUAUGUCCUGAAUCUGUCUUCUUCAAGAGCUAGAUGACGCUGUUGUAAAACACUUGAUUGUAAUUUUUGAUUUUUUUUCAGAUCUAGGUUUGAGUUUGAGUCUUGUUUAAUUUUCAUUUUCGUUUUUGUUCCUUUUUUCUUAUUUUUUGUCAUUCUGAAAUUGUGUGUUUGUAAUUUUUGAGUAUAAUUUUCAAUUUCGUUUGAGUAUUAUGUAUUUCUGGCAUUCUGAA